rnacentral:rRNA from 1 species
CCUACGGGAGGCAGCAGUGGGGAAUAUUGCACAAUGGGGGAAACCCUGAUGCAGCGACGCCGCGUGAGUGAAGAAGUACCUCGGUAUGUAAAGCUCUAUCAGCAGGGAAGAAGCAAGACGGUACCUGACUAAGAAGCCCCGGCUAACUACGUGCCAGCAGCCGCGGUACUACGGAGGGGGCAAGCGUUAUCCGGAUUUACUGGGGUUAAAGGGAGCGUAGACGGUAUGGCAAGUAUGAAGUGAAAGCCCAGGGCUUAACCCUGGGACUGCUUUGGAAACUGUUAGACUAGAGUGCUGGAGAGGUAAGUGGAAUUCCUGGUGUAGCGGUGAAAUGCGUAGAUAUUAGGAGGAACACCAGUGGCGAAGGCGGCUUACUGGGCAGUAACUGACGUUGAGGCUCGAAAGCGUGGGGAGCAAACAGGAUUAGAUACCCGUGUAGUC